GCCCCCGUAGUUCAAUGGAUAAAACAAUUCCGUCCUAAGGAAAAGCUAGCGGUUCGAAUCCGUUCGGGGGCACCA
rnacentral:tRNA from 1 species